rnacentral:tRNA from 1 species
GCGUCCGUAGCUCAGCUGGAUAGAGUACCUGGCUACGAACCAGGCGGUCAGAGGUUCGAAUCCUCUCG